rnacentral:rRNA from 1 species
AUUGAACGCUGGCGGCAGGCCUAACACAUGCAAGUCGGGCGCGCGGCGGACGGGUGCGUAAUGUAUGGGGAUCUGCCUGAUGGCGGGGGAUCCCUACUGGAAACGGUAGCUAAUACCGCAUACCCUCAGAUGACCCCAUAUGGGAUGAGCUAGUAGGUGAGGUAAAGGCUUACCUAGGCGACGAUCCCUAGCUGGUCUGAGAGGAGGAUCAGCCACACUGGGACUGAGACACGGCCCAGACUCCUACGGGAGGCAGCAGUGGGGAAUAUUGCACAAUGGGCGCAAGCCUGAUGCAGCCAUGCCGCGUGUAUGAAGAAGGCCUUCGGGUUGUAAAGUACUUUCAGUCGGGAGGCGUUACCGACAGAAGAAGCACCGGCUAACUCCGUGCCAGCCGCCGCGGUAAUAC